rnacentral:tRNA from 1 species
GCCUGGGUGGCUCAGUCGGUUGAGCGUCCGACUUCGGCUCAGGUCACGAUCUCGCAGUCCGUGGGUUCGAGCCCCGUGUCGGGCU